GUAGGUGGCAAGCGUUGUCCGGAAUUAUUGGGCGUAAAGCGCGCGCAGGCGGUUCUUUAAGCCUGAUGUGAAAGCCCACGGCUCAACCGUGGAGGGUCAUUGGAAACUGGGGAACUUGAGUACAGAAGAGGAAAGCGGAAUUCCACGUGUAGCGGUGAAAUGCGUAGAGAUGUGGAGGAACACCAGUGGCGAAGGCGGCUUUCUGGUCUGUAACUGACGCUGAGGCGCGAAAGCGUGGGGAGCAAACAGGGAUUAGAUACCCUGGUAGUCCACGCCGUAAACGAUGAGUGCUAAGUGUUAGGGGGUUUCCCGCCCCUUAGUGCUGCAGCUAACGCAUUAAGCACUCCGCCUGGGGAGUACGGCCGCAAGGCUG
rnacentral:rRNA from 1 species